CCUGCCCCUAAGUCUGGGAUACCAUUUGGAAACAGGUGCUAAUACCGGAUAAUAAAGCAGAUCGCAUGAUCAGCUUUUGAAAGGCGGCGUAAGCUGUCGCUAAGGGAUGGCCCCGCGGUGCAUUAGCUAGUUGGUAAGGUAACGGCUUACCAAGGCGACGAUGCAUAGCCGAGUUGAGAGACUGAUCGGCCACAUUGGGACUGAGACACGGCCCAAACUCCUACGGGAGGCAGCAGUAGGGAAUCUUCCACAAUGGACGCAAGUCUGAUGGAGCAACGCCGCGUGAGUGAAGAAGGUUUUCGGAUCGUAAAGCUCUGUUGUUGGUGAAGAAGGAUAGAGGUAGUAACUGGCCUUUAUUUGACGGUAAUCAACCAGAAAGUCACGGCUAACUACGUGCCAGCAGCCGCGGUAAUACGUAGGUGGCAAGCGUUGUCCGGAUUUAUUGGGCGUAAAGCGAGCGCAGGCGGAAAAAUAAGUCUAAUGUGAAAGCCCUCGGCUUAACCGAGGAAUUGCAUCGGAAACUGUUUUUCUUGAGUGCAGAAGAGGAGAGUGGAACUCCAUGUGUAGCGGUGGAAAUGCGUAGAUAUAUGGAAGAACACCAGUGGCGAAGGCGGCUCUCUG
rnacentral:rRNA from 1 species